CAGCCGGUGCGAGUCCGGUCAGGAAUGAAACGAACGUUCCUGUAGUGAUGACCGACCUGUCCGUGGAGCGAUCCGGGGCAGGCAAGCUCGGUCGUAAAAGUCCCGUCCGGAGCGGGGCGAGCAAGAUGGCGGGCCGCAGCGGUA
rnacentral:ncRNA from 1 species